AUGAUCUCAAAUUCUCAAUCCUUGGCUGCAUUGCAGGCUGGGAGCAAGGAGAACAUUGUCCCUAGUGUCCAGAUUUUGGCCAUAGAGUUGCACUUUGGUGUUCGCGAUGCUGUCAAGAAAGUAUCUGGUUUUCUCAGAGGCUUCCCUAACCUCGAGACGCUCCAUGUCCAGUCGGUCCGCGUAUCUGAAAAGUCCACUGGCAAGGUCAAUCUCAAGUUCUGGCAGGAGGGCGGCCCCAUCAAAUGCGUCGUGGAGGGCAUGAAGAAGGUGUUCUUCUAUGAGUUCCGAGGGUCAAAAAGCGAGGUUGCUUUCCUCAAGUUUAUCGCGGAGAGAGGUCGCGUGCUGGAGCAGAUGGUGGUUGUGGUGGCCAUUGAGUGUUUCUCCUCAGGGGAUAAUGUGAAUGCCAAGCUGAAGCCUCUGGCCAGUGCGAAAUGGAAGAGCAAGACUUGCAAACUACAGCUCUUCAAGACCACGCUCACUGCCGGGGGAGGUCCUGCUUACAGCCACCCGCAGCUUCUGAUUUUGGAUGUGCUGACCCUUUUGACCUCGAGUACUACGACAAAGCAGAAAGGAUCUCUGUAA
rnacentral:rRNA from 1 species